rnacentral:rRNA from 1 species
GCGUAUAAUACCUGCCCUCAAGUCCGGGAUAGCUGCGGGAAACUGCAGGUAAUACCGGAUAAUAUCUCCGGAUCAAAGGUGUGAUUCCGCUUGAGGAUGGUUCUGCGUCCUAUUAGCUUGUUGGUGGGGUAAUGGCCUACCAAGGCGAUUAUCGGUACCGGGUGUGAGAGCAUGACCCGGCUCACUGGGACUGAGACACUGCCCAGACACCUACGGGUGGCUGCAGUCGAGAAUCUUCGGCAAUGGACGAAAGUCUGACCGAGCGACGCCUCGUGUACGAUGAANGCCUUCGGGUUGUAAAGUACUGUCAGUUGGGAAGAAAUUCUUUGGGGUUCUCCCCCUUGAUUGACCNAUCUUCAGAGGAAGUGCGGGCUAAGUUCGUGCCAGCAGCCCGCGUAAUACGAACCGCACGAACGUUAUUCNGAAUCACUGGGCUUAAGGGGUGCGUA